rnacentral:lncRNA from 1 species
UUUGCCUGUUGGGGCUCGGGGGCAGUAUUGAGACAUUUUGAAAAAAAUAUGUGCCCAUUUUUAACUGCCUCCUACACCAACUCAGAAGCUAGGAUAUGCAUAUUAUUAACACAUUCGGAUAGAAAACACUCUGAAUUUUCUAAAACAGUUUGAAUGGUGUCUGUAAGUAUAACAAAACUCAUAUUGCAGGCAAAAACCUGUGAAAAAUAGAUCAAAAAAAAUGUGAAUUUUGUGACUGUAAUAUUUAGUGUCAUUGUUUUAUAGAUACCAUAGUGAGAAAGGAUUCAUUUCGCAACACCUACGGCUUCCACUAGAUGUCAACGAUCUUUAUAAAGUUGUUUGAAGCGUCUAUGAUAAACAGAGAGCAAAUUAGAAUCCAAGGAAGUUGACAUGUCAUCACUUCAUUUUUUUGCGCCUGCGCAUAAAUCUGAGAAACGUGAGUUUUGUCUUCAUUGUUUAUCUCGACAUAGGAUAGGUUGUGUGAAAAUAUUACUGAUGUUUAACGUUAAAAAUGGACCAAAAGAUUAAUGCUAAACAACAUUUGACAUGUUUGAACGAACAUAAAUAGAUUAUUUACUAGUUUUUUUUAGCUUUUCGGCGUGAUUUUACAGUCCCCCACCACGUUUUGUGGGAGCAUAAUGAACGCUAAGUACUUGGUGUUAUUUGGACAUAAAUUAUGAACUUUGUCAAAAGAAACCACAUUUGUUCCGGACCUGGGAUGCCUUCCGGACCUGGGAUGCCUGUCUUCUGAUGGAGAUAAUCAAAGGUCUCUUAAGGUGUUGCUAUCUAAGGUGAACACCUCAAAGAAGCUGAAUAAUUUCCAUUGACGUCACGUUAUUGUGAAACCUGUUUACGUCGAUGCUAGACCCUCCCCUUCAUGUCACACAAAAAGGUUUUCAGGGAAAAGGACCACAGGCUGAAAACGUUCCACUCGAUCGAACCAAUCGCUGCUCGUAUGUCCUUUCAUGGUAAAGUACAUCUAGUCAUGAACACAGAAAUACGCAGCAAAGACCUUUUUACUCAAAGACCCAGCUACUCUCUGACAGUCACCAUCAGACCAUCAGACCACCAGAUGGACAGGCUGUGUGUCACUCUGAUUGCAUUCUUAUGUGCUGUUUCCUCCAGUCAGGAUGGGAUCUCUGCAGCAGAGGUGGAGAUGAGAGUCAGACCAGGAGACAACAUCACUCUCUACUGUGACUGUAACAUAACUUCUGGAAUAUACAUUAUGUGGUAUAGGAACUGUUCUCACAAGUACCAGCCUCCUCUUGUUAUUUUAACUACGUUUUUAAGUUCCAUCUCUCUCCCUGGAUUUAAUGUGUUAUGGAACCCCUCUAACAACUCCUAUGAUCUACUGAUUGAGAACAUCACUGAAUCUGACCUGGGACUCUACUACUGUGGGACUGUGGAGUACAAGGUGGAAGAAGGAAAACGAAUGAAAUAUAAAGAGUUGUUCCACUAUGGAAACAUCACCACUCGGAUUUCACUUGAAACCAGUCCUCCUGCCAGUCUAUUGCCAGAAACCAGUCCUCCUGACUGUCUAUUGCCAGAAAUCAGUCCUCCUGAGCCAUCCUCCUCCUCCCCUCCUCCUGUAGACUGUGGUCUGUGUUGGAUGUUGCUGUUCAGUCUGUGUCCUGUAUCUGCUCUCCUCUACUCCGCCUGUGUUUACUCCUUUUACAGAACAACAGCUCCAACUGAGACUCAGGUUCCUCUGAACAAGACCACCACCAGGGGAAUUGACAGCAGAGAGCAGACUACUGUCAAAUACAUACACAUCUAUCAAUACCAGCAGAGUGUGAGACCUAUACCAUCCAUCAAUACCAGCAGAGUGUGACCAAUACCAUCCAUCAAUACCAGCAGAGUGAGACCUAUACCAUCCAUCAAUACCAGCAGAGUGUGACCAAUACCAUCCAUCAAUACCAGCAGAGUGAGACCUAUACCAGCCAUCAAUACCAGCAGAGUGAGACCAAUACCAUCCAUCAAUACCAGCAGAGUGUGAGACCUAUACCAUCCAUCAAUACCAGCAGAGUGAGACCUAUACCAUCCAUCAAUACCAGCAGUGUGAGUCCUAUACCAUCCAUCAAUACCAGCAGAGUGUGAGACCUAUACCAUCCAUCAAUACCAGCAGAGUGUGAGACCUAUACCAUCCAUCAAUACCAGCAGAGUGUGAGACCUAUACCAAUGUAGCUGGGAGGAAAUUAUUUUUAAGAGUUACUUAUUUUUUUUUUUACCUUUUCAUACAAGUGAUUUAUUUGUACACUUUUGGCUGUAACCUUUUAAUAAUAAUAACAAUAGUGAUUUAGAAAAUGUGGUUAAGAUCAGGGAAUAAUGGUUAAAUAGCUGUUGUUACAGUCUUAGUUUGUAAUUCUAGGUGUUAAAGUUCAUUGUUUUCCAUUUGUAAGUGUAUUGAUAUGUGUUAAUGUAGCUGAAUAAAUAUUGAUUCAGUUUAAUUACAUUUUAUUUAGUUAUUUAUUUGUCUCCCCUUAACUUCUCUUAGAGCGCGAGGUCAUUAUAUUUGGUUUGACAAACGCUCCAGCAAACCAAUCAGAGCUAUUUGAGGGUGUGGCUUAGAUGUGAAGGGUUGAGACUUUGGUGAAGAAGGUGUGGCUUAGAAAUAAAGAGGGUGUGGCUUUAGAGGAUGACAGAGAUGCAUGUAAAGAGCAUGGAGGUUAAGGGGUGUGAUUUAUAUGUUAAGAGGUGUGAUUUAUAUAUUAAGGGGUGUGAUUUAUAUGUUAAGGGGUGUGAUUUAUAUGUUAAGGGGUGUGAUUUAUAUGUUAAGGGGUGUGAUUUAUAUGUUAAGAGGUGUGAUUUAAAUGUUAAGGGGUGUGGUUUAUAUGUUAAGGUGUUAUUUAAAUGUUAAGGGGUGUGGUUUAUAUGUUAAGGGGGGGAAUUUAUAUGUUAAGAGGUGUGAUUUGAAUGUUACGGUGUGUGAUUUAUAUGUUAAUGUGUGUGGUUUAUAUGUUAAAGUGUGAUUUAAAUGUUAAGGGGUGUGGUUUAUAUGUUAAGGUGUGAUUUAAAUGUUAAGGGGGGUGGUUUAUAUGUUAAGGGGUGUAAUUUAUAUGUUAAGAGGUGUGAUUUAAAUGUUAAGAUGUGUGGUUUUAGUGGAAUACAGAGUUGUUGAGUAGAACCAGAGUAGUUUCUAUGGUUUCAUAAACAUGAAGCCCAGGGCUCUUUAACCCUGUUCCUGGAAAACUACCAUCCUGUAGGUUUUCACUCCAACCCUAAUCUAGCACAAUAAUAUUUAGCUCGUUGAUGAACUGAUUCGGGUUAGUUACAACUGGGGUUGGAUAUCCCUGACCCUGUAUAUGGUUGAACAUUUUAAGUUUUAAAUGAAGCUCCGUGAAGCUUUCAGUGAAAGCACAUUAUCAAUAGAGUUACAUAGUGAAACCAGGUUAAUUAUACUACAUUAUCAAUGGAGUUACAUAGUGAAAUCAGGUGAAUUAUACCACAUCAUUAGAGUAACAUAGUGAAAUCAGGUUAAUUAUACCACAUUAUCAAUAGAGUUACAUAAUGUAAUCAGGUUAAUUAUACUACAUUAUCGAUAGAGUUACAUAGUAACAUCAGGUUCAUUGUAUCACAUUAUCGAUAGAGUUACAUAGUAACAUCAGGUUCAUUGUAUCACAUUAUCAAUGGAGUUACAUAGUGAAAUCAGGUUAAUUAUACCACAUUAUCAAUAGAGUUACAUAGUGAAAUCAGGUUAAUUAUACCACAUUAUCAACAGAGUUACAUAGUGAAAUCAGGUUAAUUAUACCACAAAACAGUAGUCUCUGAAAAAGCAUGAUUUAAUUCCAGAAGAUAACCAUUACAUGUAUUUUCACCAAAUACUAAUCAUACAUGAAAAGUAGAUAAUUUCAUCUGAAUGAAGAGCAGAUACAACAGAAAGUGCAUGUUCAAUCUAUUAAAAGUAGAAAAUAAAUGUAAAAACUUUGAAUGUAACCAAAUUAAAGCCUUUUGGUGACACUUCCUUAGUGGUUGGCAUUUUCUGAUCAAUAUCUGCAUUUUUCCCAGAUCAGAUUACCACAGUAGA